UACGGGGGGGGCGAAGCGUUGUUCGGAAUUACUGGGCGUAAAGGGCUCGUAGGUGGCCAACUAAGUCAGACGUGAAAUCCCCAGGCUUAACCUGGGAACUGCAUCCGAUACUGGAUGGCUUGAAUUCGGGAGAGGGAUGCAGAAUUCCAGGUGUAGCGGUGAAAUGCGUAGAUAUCUGGAGGAAUACCGGUGGCGAAGGCGGCAUCCUGGACCGAGAUUGACGCUGAUGAGCGAAAGCUAGGGGAGCAAACGGGG
rnacentral:rRNA from 1 species